rnacentral:rRNA from 1 species
CCUACGGGUGGCUGCAGUCGAGAAUCAUUCACAAUGGGGGAAACCCUGAUGGUGCGACGCCGCGUGGGGGAAUGAAGGUCUUCGGAUUGUAAACCCCUGUCAUGUGGGAGCAAAUUAAAAAGAUAGUACCACAAGAGGAAGAGACGGCUAACUCUGUGCCAGCAGCCGCGGUAAUACAGCGGUCUCAAGCGUUAUUCGGAAUCACUGGGCGUAAGGCGUGCGUAGGCUGUUUCGUAAGUCGUGUGUGAAAGGCGCGGGCUCAACCCGCGGACGGCACAUGAUACUGCGAGACUAGAGUAAUGGAGGGGGAACCGGAAUGCUCGGUGUAGCAGUGAAAUGCGUAGAUAUCGAGAGGAACACUCGUGGCGAAGGCGGGUUCCUGGACAUUAACUGACGCUGAGGCACGAAGGCCAGGGGAGCGAAAGGGAUUAGAUACCCGAGUAGUC